CAAAACUUGCUUUCAGAUUCUCUAGAUAGCUGAACUGCUAAGUUUGGGUGGGGCAGCUUGCUGGACUCUGCAGUCAUGCUGAGCUGCUAGAUAGGCACUGCAAUCACUGCAUAUCAGGUUGGGCCACAGGGUGUAUUUCCUGGCCAGAUGGUACCACUAUUUGAGUUCAGCGAUUGGAUAGGGUUGCAGGAGGGAUUCCACGGUAAGGUAGAGUUGCUGAUUGGGAUGGACAGGACCAGAUGCUUUGCUCAGUAGAAAUGCAUGGUUGAGGUUUACCCCUCUUCCUAUAAAGAACCUUGAGGCAGGUUUGAGGCUGAGCUGAGUACUGUUUAAAUUCCUAGAUGUCGUGCCACUAGCUUGUGCUCUUUGCCGUAAUCUGCUGUGACAGUUGCUCUCUCCCUGGGAGAGGUCUGAGUGUGGGUUUUGAGAUGAUACUGAGUGCUGUUAAAUUCUCAGGUGUAACUAACUAGGCCCUGCUCUUUCCCAUACUUUGCUGUUGUGUUUGUUUCCCUUCCUGGGCACGGCCCUGGGGCAGGGUCGGACGCUUGUCCUGGAAACUAGCUGUCUAGGGAUUCAAGCCAGGUAGAACUUCCCUCCUCUUCUGGAAGCAACCAACUCAGCUUUGUGUGUCGGCUAUGCUGUUAGUUGAUACCUCUGAUUGGGUGCCACUGCUGGCAAGUACACACAGCUGCCACCAAGAUCUCCAUGCUGGUUGCUGCGCUUUCCACCUUUCUGCUUUGUUUCUACCUCACUCCCAGAUCGUCUAACCAUGCCAUUUCCCUAUGCAUUUCCUUUAAGGUGAGAUGGGAAUGGGCUUCCUGGAAAGCAACUCAGAAUGCUAAAGGAAUCUGUGUGUUUGCUUCUGGUUCUUUCUUUCUGUAGAAACCAUGAACCCUGGAAAAUUCUCUCUACGGCACUAUGCAGACUUGGAAAAGGAAGAGGGGUACACAGUCAGAGUGAGACUGUUUCUCCUAUCGGUUUCAUGUGAUUUUUAUUCCAUUCUGUGGACCACAGAACAGACUCAAGUUUAUUUGCAAUUUUGGAGGUUUUUACCAAGUUACUUAGUUCUAGCAUGUGGAAAGGUCAAGUCGAUUAGAUCUUCAACAUAAACAUCCCUUACCAGCACUCUUAACCUGAAUGCUCUAUUUGAAAAGAAGAGAAUGAUUCAAUUAAGCACAGUGAAGAAUUUGUACUUAGUAGACUGUGUGUAAGAAGAGGAAUAAAUCAACCCAUAGACAAUGAUCAUGAGAAGGCAACAAACAUAAUGUCCUCUGAAUAGUCUUCUCCCUGAAUUUGAUAAGGCAUUCACAAAAUUCUACAGUGGGACACCAAAUAGGUGCUAUUGAGCGGUGAAGCCGGCUGGGCUUCUGGGUCAGGUGGGGACUUGGAGAAAUUUUCCGUCUAGCUAAAGGAUUGUAAAUGCACCAAUCAGUGCUCUGUGUCUACCUAAUCGGGUGGGUACUUGGAGAACUUUUCUGUCUAGCUAAAGGAUUGUAAAUGCACCAAUCAGUGCUCUGUGUCUAGCUAAAAGUUUAUAAACACACCAAUCAGCACUCUGUAAAAUGGACCAAUCAGUGCUCUGUAAAAUGGAUCAAUCAGCAGGAUGUGGGAGGGGCCAAAUAAGGGAAUAAAAGCUGGCCACCCAGGCCAGCAGUGGCAACCUGCUCAGGUCCUCUUCCAUACUGUGGAAGCUUUGUACUUUUGCUCUUCACAAUAAAUCUUGCUGCUGGUCACUCUUUCGGUCCACACUACCUUUAUGAGCUAUAACACUCACUGCCAAGGUCUGGGGCUUCCCUCCUGAAGUCAGUGAGACCGCAAACCCACCGGGAGGAACAAACAACUCCAGACGUGCCACCUAAGAGCUGUAACAGUCACUGCGAAGGUCUGCGGCUUCACUCCUCAAGUCAGGGAGACCAUGAACCCACCGGGAGGAACAAACAACUCGGACGCGCCACCUUUAAGAGCUGUAACACUCACUGAGAGUGUCUGCGGCUUCACUCCUGAAGUCAAGGCGAGACCACAAACCCACCGGAAGGAAGAAACUCCAGACACAUCUGGACAUCUGAAGAAACAAACUCUGGACACACCGUCUUUAAGAACUAACACUCACCGCGAGGGUCUGUGGCUUCAUUCUUGAAGUUAGCAAGACCAAGAACCCACCGGAAGGAACCAAUUCCGGACACACUAGGAGACCUCAGUCACUCAGGUGUUUAGAGCACUGCAGAGCUCAAAUCACACAGAUAAAUGAUGGUCUCUAGAUGAAUGGGCACACUUAAAGAGUUGCUUCCUUACUAUAUUUGAAAAUUUAAAGCACUAUGAGAGGGGAACAAAACCUGAAAUAGACAUUUCCCUUGCGAAAAUGAGACAGAAAAAUACAAAUUAUAUAUAUUUUCAAUAUAUAAUAAUACUGUCUUAUCUUUUAUGCUUGAAGAGGUAAAUGUGAAAGACAAACAGAAGUCUAAAAAAUUAUCUGAACUGAUAAGAAUUUUUAAGAAUCUAGACUCUAAAGCUGUGGCAGCAUUGGCAUCAAGAGAAAUAGAUGUACAUACCAUCUACUCUAUUAAAAUCUUGCUUGAAACUUUGCAUUUAAAGAAGGCUUGUGUCUUUUCCGUGGAAAAAUGGGAGUAGGGAUUGGACUGCCUAAAAUUCCUUCUAGCUUUACAUUGUUAUGUUAUGCUGUUUAUUCUUUAAUGAGGUAGGUACAUUUCUGUUCUGUGUCAUGUUUAUGUGCUAGUUUCCCAAAUGCAGUCUAAAGAUAUCUAUCAGAAAUUUCAUAGUUUUUGCCAUCAUUGUCAAAAGAUUAAAAGGCCAAUGAUAAGGCCAACAAUUGGCUUUUAGAAGCAAAUUCUUACAUUUUUUUCCCCC
rnacentral:lncRNA from 10 species